AUGUCAUAAAAUAUCUUUAAAAAACAAUCUAAAAUCGAUCUCAGUUAACAAAUAUUUCUUAAGCUCAUAUCGAUCUCAGUGUAACAGUUUAUGAAAUUAAUAACUGACGAAACCGUUUCACAACUAUUAGUUAUUCGUUUCAAAUUUAACUAAUGUUCUACAACAUAGAUGCAGCUUUACGCAUUGACCUUAUUGUCAAAUGUUUUAUUGCUACUGCACACAAUACAAUCGAAGAAGUAUGGGAUACCAUGUAUUGACGCAAUAGGUUGUGUUCACACCAAGAAACGGCUAUGUGGCUUAAGUGUAUCUAAUGGCGAAGUGCGAUGGUUCCUAGACAAGUGUGACAUCUUGGAAUUUAACUGUGCAUAUAAAAGAAGUGAGACUUCGUGCUUCUUCAUACUACUGAUUCAAGAAAACGAUAAAGAAAAAUUGCAGACAUGUGCCAAUGAUAUAACACACAUACAAAAACAAAAAAAAAA